CACGUAGGCACCAAGCGUUGUCCGGAUUUAUUGGGCGUAAAGAGCUCGUAGGCGGUUCAGUAAGUCGGGUGUGAAAACUUUGGGCUCAACCCAAAGCGUGCAUCCGAUACUGCUGUGACUGGAGUUCGGUAGGGGAGCGGGGAAUUCCUAGUGUAGCGGUGAAAUGCGCAGAUAUUAGGAGGAACACCGGUGGCGAAGGCGCCGCUCUCGGGCCGAUACGUGACGCUGAGGAGCGAAAGCGU
rnacentral:rRNA from 1 species